rnacentral:rRNA from 1 species
UACGUAGGGGGCCAGCGUUGUCCGAAGUUACUGGGCGUAAAGAGCGCGUAGGCGGGCCCUUAAGUGGGGGGUGAAAGGUUGGGGCUCAACCCCAACACUGCCUUUCAUACUGGGGGCCUUGAGUGCGGGAGAGGCGAGUGGAAUGGUCGGUGUAGCGGUGAAAUGCGUAGAUAUCGAUCGGAACACCCAUGGCGAAGGCAGCUCGCUGGCCUGCAACUGACGCUGAGGCGCGAAGCCGGGGAGCGAACAGG